rnacentral:rRNA from 1 species
CCUACGGGCCGCAGCAGUGGGGAAUAUUGGACAAUGGGCGAAAGCCUGAUCCAGCCAUGCCGCGUGUGUGAAGAAGGCCUUCGGGUUGUAAAGCACUUUCAGUGGGGAAGAAAGCCUUGGGGCUAAUACCCUCGAGGAAGGACAUCACCCACAGAAGAAGCACCGGCUAACUCCGUGCCAGCAGCCGCGGUAAUACGGAGGGUGCGAGCGUUAAUCGGAAUUACUGGGCGUAAAGCGCGCGUAGGCGGUCUGAUAAGCCGGUUGUGAAAGCCCCGGGCUCAACCUGGGAACGGCAUCCGGAACUGUCAGGCUAGAGUGCAGGAGAGGAAGGUAGAAUUCCCGGUGUAGCGGUGAAAUGCGUAGAGAUCGGGAGGAAUACCAGUGGCGAAGGCGGCCUUCUGGACUGACACUGACGCUGAGGUGCGAAAGCGUGGGUAGCAAACAGGAUUAGAUACCCUAGUAGUC